AUUCCUCCAACAAAUAAGACAGAGAACUGCCUGUUUUUUUGGUUCCCUAUCGAAGGACGGAGCUUGGAACAACAUUUAUAACGGUUUAAUGACACAAAGAGUAAAAGGUGCUGCAGCCCAUCCAUCUGCUGAAUGUUGCCAAGUAACAGCCAUCCAUGGAACAUGGAAAAAUGAAUUCACCCGGCCAGGCCCAAAUUGUCGACCCACAGAACAUGAGAUGCAGAAGCUCUAACCAAGGAUUCCUAGAGAGAAAGAGUAGAGCCAUGAGACGAAGGGAGCCUGGGUCCCUAAAUCACCAUGUCGGAGCUCUUCAGCGAAAAGCUGACGCUGAGCUGCUACGUGAGCAAGAGACACCUUGCCCAAUCUGAAACGAAGCCAAGCAAAGCAACAUCACCUUCUGGAAAGUGCAGAAACUGCAAUCAAGAUCAACAAAGAAAAGCACCCUUCCCAUAGAUUCAUCUCUUUGGCGUUUAAGUGUUUGGGCGAGUCUACAAAACUCAGAUUCCUCAUUUAACUAGAUGUUCCAGGUCACAGAGAUAUUCUACUAAGGCAAUUUUCAAAAGACCAUAAAACCACCACAUCAAUUUAUGCUUGCAGGUAGUAUAAUUGCCUUUGUAUCAUAUAUUUUUAGAAAAAGUGGCUUAAAACAAUUUGAAUAGUGCUUUAGAAAUAAGACCCUUAAAUAAUUGACGCUGGUAUUGCCUUUCUUAACUCUGGGAUUUCAAAACAUUUUCCAAACAUUAAUUGCAAUGGGACCCUGGUGAGGCUGAUAUUAUCAUACCUAUUUUCCAAGACGAUAAGCAGGGAGCGCAGGGCCCGUUUCUUGUCUUGCCCCAUGCCCUUCAGAGCUUGUCCAAGCUCAGAGCUCCCUUAAAAACCAUUGGAUCAGCUCCAUGGGAGCACAGAGGAAAAUGAGAAAUGGGCUCUUGGAGAUUUAAGGGAUUCUGUAAGGUUGUGUGUGAGUGAGCUGUAGCUAAAAGUCAAAGCUGGAAAUCUAAGAUUCCUUAUUCAGUGCUUGGAUAUAUUUCCUCAUUAAGAUAAUUCAUGUAGAAUAUCAGGCUUGCAGGAAUAUGCUGGUAAGAAGUGGACUCUGUUGCUGUUUGUUUUUGAGUAACUUAUUUAAUAACAAAAAUGCCUCCCUUUGAUUUGAAUAAAAAUAAAUGGCUGGAUUUUCACAGGCAGCAUGCAUAGAAGACCAGCAAGGGCCAACAGUGAAUUUCGACACUGACUUUUAAAAAUUGUGAAAGAGAUGCUAACAGCCUAAUUUGCAGUGGAGACUAGAUUCUGUGGCUGUAUCAGGUGGUGGUAUAAAGAAGAGCCAUAUACAGAAGGUGAAAUGAGGGGUUAAAAGUCACGCUAAACAUGCUGCAAGGACCUGUGGGCAUCCCAACCUUUUUUUCUUUAAUUGGGAGGAGAAGAGCUUUUUACUAAAGAGUAAGUUCCACAAUGUAGGCCGGUGGCCCAACUGGGAAAUACUCUUGAUUUGAACAGUUUGCAGCAGUUCUUUUCUGAACUCUUUAUAUAGAUCCUCUUUCAAUAUGGGGACACAUAUUUUAAGGUAAAAGGGGUAUUUUACUAAUUUUUUUUAAUGAAGCUUUCACUGCAAGCAAUAUUUGGAGUUAGUAAUCACCGGCUGGUUUCUUUCCCUCCUGCACUGCAGGAAUGAGGCCACUUUCACAGCUGGUUGUCAGCACAUCUCUUAUUACUAACACCAAUUAUUGAUUUUUAAAAGGCCUACGCUAUUAGUACCCUGCUACAUCUCUUCACGUACAAUAUGUGUUUUAAAAAUUCCUUUUGUAAAAAUAUAAAAUCUGAGUCCAACCUUUCUAUCAUCACUGUGCUUGUUCUUUACAUUUUAUCUUAUACCUUCACAGGAAAGCAAACCCGGAAUCUUUUUUUUUUUUUAACUUUUGGGCUAAUUUAGAAGCAGAAAUACUUUGCCCAUAUGAUCUCUCUGGCAGGUAUCACAUUAUAAAAAAGCAAAUGGUGCGUAGUGAGGGAGGAUGAAAGAACAUAAUUAGAGGGUUUAGGAUCUUCUAUCCCCUUUUCUCUGCCUUUAUUUCGUGCCAUCCCAAUCUAUGUUUAAGCCAAUCAUAAAAACCCACCUGGCGUCAUCCCCACUAGGGUGGCUGCUUUUGCAUAGGACUGCACCCCAAAUUGGACUUUUCUCUUCUCUUUGAAAGUUCUCAAUGAAGGUGAAUUUUAGGAUUUCUUUCAAAAGAUACUAUUCACACGUCAGUCAUUCUAGUUGUUGAUAUAUUGUCCAAAUGAUAGGCGGCUCUGAGAAUAUUUAUCUUUAGCAAUAUUUAUGGGUGUAUUAGUUUUGUAGAGCUGGUGUAACAAAGCUCUAUGAAAACGCUACAAAGCUCACCAAAAACUGGAUGGCUUAAACAGCAGAAAUUAACGUUCUCAUAGUUCUAGAGGCUAGACAUGCACCAUCAAAGUGUCAGCAAGGUUGGUUUCUGCUGAGGGAUGUGAGGGAUAAUCUGUUUAUGCCCAUUUCCUAAUUUCUGGUAGUUUUCUGGAAAUUUUGGCAUUUUUUGGAUUAUAGAUGCAUUUUCUGGUAUCUUCCUUCAUGCUCACAUAGGAUUCUCCCUGUGUGUGUGUCUAUGUCUGUGUCUAAAUUUCCCCUUUUUAUAAAGACUCAGUCGUAUUGAUUAGGGACCACCCAAAUGAUUUCAUCUGCUAGGAUACCAUAUCCAAUUAAGGUCACAUUUACUGAGAGAAAGCACUUCAACAACUUUUUGGGCAACAUAAUUUAAACCAUAACAAUGGUUUGUUAAAUGACGUAUAUAUGAUACUAUAUAUAUAUAAAUCAUUAUUAUCAUUGAUUAUGUAUAUAAUCAAAUACUAUUUUAUUAUUUACAAAAUACAUGGUGAUCAUAAGAGAAUAUUUUACAAAUUACAAAUGGGAAAAGUACAUGGCAUUACUAAAACGUCAGUGCCAAUGCCUCAGCAGAGAAAAAUUAGUGCAUUAAUUAGUUACCCUCUGAUGGAUAGUUUUUAGAUAAUAGAGACAGGUAUUGGUAAGCGAAAUGGAAUUUUAAUUUCAUGAGGAUGCUAGAAAAUUGCAAGUUGGAAGAUCAAUUUUAUUUACUCCAUCAUUAACAUGUGCUAAGUGAAUAUCUAAAGCAAGCUUGUCCAACCUGCGGCCUGUGGGCUGCAUGCGGCCCAGCAUGGCUUUGAAUGUGACCCAACACAAAUUUGUAAACUUUCUUAAAAGAUUAUGAGGGUUUAUUUGCGAUUAUUUUUCUUUUUGCUCAUCGGCUGUUGUUAGUGUAUUUUAUGUGUGACCCAAGACAAUUCUUCUUCCAAUGUGACCCAGGGAAGCCAAAAGAUUGGACACCCCUGACCUAAAGUGUAAUCCAUACUCUGAUAGAUGGUUUUCAGUAACACAAAUUCAACAUAAAACUGAACAUACAUUUUCAUGAGCAACUACUAGGUUCCAGGUACAUGACUGCUAUAGAGCAUUAGAGUUCUAAUACUAAGUAAAGCAGAGUGAUUUUUAAAAUCUAAAUACAGUUUAGCCAGGAAGAGUGAAGUAUAAACCAAUCAUUGAAAUUUAGAGGGCACUGUAAAGAAAACCCAUAUACAUGGAAGAAAGAAAAGGCAGGGUCAACUUCUUAGUUGUGAGGAAGGAUCUUGAAGAAAAGAUUACUCUGUUUUUGCAUUGCCAUAAAGAAAUACUUGAGGCUGGGCAAUUUAUAAGAAAAAAGGGUUAAUUGGCUCACAGUUCUUCAGGCUGUACAGGAAGCAUAGUGGCAUCUGCUUCUGGGGAGACCACAGGAAGCUUCUAGUCAUGGCAGAAGGCAAAGGGGGAACAGGCACAUGCUGAAAGCAGGAGCAAGCGAGAGCCAGCAGCGAAGUGCUGCACACUUUUACACAACCAGAUCUCCCGUAACUCACUCACUAUCAUGAGAACAGCAGCAAGGGGAUGGUGCUAAACCAUUCAUGAGACUCCAACCCAUGACCCAGUCACCUCUCACCAGGCCCAACCUCCAACAUUGAGGAUUACAGUUAGACAAUUCAAUAUGAGAUUGGGGCAGGGACACACAUCCAAACUAUAUCAGAUAAUGAUAAUAUGACUUAAAAAAAAAAGAUCUGUAUAGUCUCACCUAACAGUAGCCUGCCUGGGGCAGGAAGACAAAUGGAGUUCAUGUCUCUAAAUAUUUACAAUUAUAAAUUAAGGUAACAAAAUUGCUACCCAGAACAUAUUCAAAUGUCCUACCCUGUCAACUAUAGCUUUUGAGCAACAAAAUAUGAAAAUAAGUCAUGAAUCAAUGUUUAUAUGACUGGAGAAAGAAAAAUAUUAAACAUGAUGGAAUUUGAUUAUUUCCCAUAUUUAGAUCUUCUGUUUAUGAGUAAGGACAUUUAAACUAGUAAUAAAGGAAACAUACAUAGUUUAUAAAUAUAUGUAAACAUUUUAUAAAAUUUAUUUUUCCUACCUUCAUUUCAAUACAAUUCAAUAAUUUUACUCGUAUUUUCAGAUUUACACAGAUUAUGAAAAAAUUUUAACCUGAGAUUUUUAGUUUUUUAGUUCUAAAGUAUAUUUUUAAUUAAAUUUAGCUGUUUUCAUAACAUUUAAUCCACAUUACCAUCAUAUGUGCCAAAAAGUAAGGCCAAAUUUGAUAUGUGAUUUGCUUUUCAAGAAAUAAAUUUAAUCAUCUGGAUAACUGAACAAGAGAAUGCUAAAUAUACACUUAAGAAGAUAGAUAAUAUUGCAGUUCUUUAUUUUUCUGCUUAUUACCUGACUUCAAAAUGAUGAUUUCCAUAAAAUUUCUUGGUAAUUCUAAAAGAUAGUAGAAACAAAUCAAAAUGAGAAACAAAUGAAUAAAUAAAAUGCAAUAUUUUAUUUGACUUCUGAAAAUAUAUGCAGUCUUAAAGCUAUAAACCUUAUAACACCAGACCUCCAAAACAUCUGGAUAUGAGGUAUUAAAUAACAUAUGGAUAUCUGAUUUUUUUUUCAGAUUUCUCCUAGUUUUCGUAUAGUGCACAUGCAAAUUGCAAAGAAUCAACAAAGUCUUCCUGAUCUCUAUAUAUUUUUUCUUAAUAGUUUUCAAGGAAAAUGCAGCCAGGCUUGGUGGUCUGGUCAUUUGAAAUCUCUAAAGGAGCUUAAAUAUAAGUAAACAUCAAUGCGAAAUCAUAAAAACAAAACUGAUUGUUAUUUCCAACUGCAGUGAUUCAAUGUUGAUGCCCACCCAAGGCAAUCCCUUGGUUCCGUCUUCUGACACUGUAUUAGAAUGUCAACUUGUGGAUUCACCUUAGCUGUUAAUAAGAAAUUUUGUCUUUAUCAUGAAGAUUGGAUCUUGGGUCCUUGUGUCAACAUUAAAAUAGUAAUAAAGUGAUGAAAUACAAAAUACCUAGGAAUAUUAUAGGAUCUGAAUCUUCUAACUGGGUACAUAGAUACUUGAGCACAUUAAAUGAAUUAGUGUUAAUCACAAGUGUAUCAUGUAACUCAAGUAGAUUGUGUGGCCCUGAAAUUCCUGAGGGUUGCCUGUUGUUUCACAUGCUGCCAGAACUUGAAUGCCGCCACCACCCUCCCCUCACCCCACUCCCUGGGGGACUAAGCAGAGAUUAUUAGACUCUAACUUCCAGAAAAAGGGCUAAGUCUUAAACAUAUCUAAGAUUAUUACUAUAGAAAUGUUAUUGCUUAAUUUUAAUGAGUAUGUUGACCAUUUAAGUUGACAGUCCUUGUCACAAUUUAUCAAAGACAAAUUAGCAUAGUUAGAGUCACCAAAAGGAAACUAUUAAAACCUAAGUGUUUUCACUUCUUCUGAUCUGGCACUUUUCCUAUAGAACUAUAUAUCACUUUAGUGCUUCUUAAUUAAAAGUGAUGUCUUCCUCCAACUUAGAUCUGUACUGCAAACAUUCCCUGUCCCAUGUUGCUUUUGAUUUACAAAGUACAAUAUAAAACUGGAUUAUAUUAUCUUCAAAUAAAAUCAACACCAGUGAUGUUGCUUUGAGUGGUUUAUAACAGUGAUUUCACUAGAUGCAGUGAAAAUGCACAAUACCUGGGAAUUAGAAAUUUGCUCUUUUCAAAUAUUGAAACACUUCCCUUUCUUCUAAAUUAACAUUAUAUUUUAUUAACCUAUAAAAUCUCAUACUAUAUGUGUACUUGACUUCUAAUAUGCUAAAUUUAGGGUAUCUCCUCUUACUAGGUAUUUAUUAUCGAUUAAAUAUCUAGAGCAGUUAUUUAAAAAUGCCUAUUCCUUUUGUAAAUUUAGAGGCUAUAGAUAGAUCAAAUUGUAAUUAUGUAACAUUUAAUUUUUAGAUGAAAAUUGUAUUGAGAUAAUUUUAUAUUCACAUGCAGUUGAAAGAAAUAAUAAAGAGAUACUGUGUAUACUUUACCUAGUUUCUGCUAAAGGUAAACUAUAGUAUAACAUUAGCCUAGGAUAUUGACUUUGAUAUCAAUUUUAUCCAGCUUUUUCAGUUUUAUUUUUACUCAUUUGUGUGCAUGUAUAUUUAGUUCUAUAUGCUUUUAUCCAUAUAUUGUUAUUAAUAUUUAAUUUUAACAUGUAAAUAUUUUCUUAAAUUUUAAGUAUCUAUUAACUGUUGUUUAUGAAUUAUAUGACAUAUAAUCGAUCCUUAAAAAUAUAAAAUAACUACUAAAAUAGGUUUCUUUUAGUAUUCUAAUCGAUAAAAACAUUAAUUUUAGACUUGGCUAAAUAUUACUAUCAAGUAGUUUGUAAAGGUUGACUAAUAGUUCCCCAAAUGAAUAGUUUAAAAACACCAUUGACAUUCUUUUUUCCUUUUGAAUUCACACCACAGUUUUUAACUAGAGGUUCAAAAGAGGUUAAGAAAUAUGAAUCCAUUUUCAGUAUUUGGGGCAUCAGCUCAUUAAGAGUAAUAGAGCAGGCUUCCAGUUUGAAAAAGGCACUGACUCAAAUGUGUAAUGAUUUCACUUUCAAAUUUCUUUUAUCUCAGCUGCUUCUACUUCAACAAAUACAAGUGCUUCAGAUAUAAUAAGAAGACUAAUGAGGAUUGCAGAUGAUUACAACAAUAUUAUAAUACUUCCCAAGGCAUAAUGACAUUUUUUUCCCAAAUUAAGGAAAAAAGGUUUUUUCUUGUUAGAGUCUUUAUUGCCUGAAUAUGACCUCAGUUAAAACCAGGAACCCAACUUUAGAACAAAUCUAUGAAUAAGUAUUUUUUUAGUAAGACUUCUUAGCUUAUAAUGGAAGUUUUAUUAACUUUAGCAAGGACUAUGUAUGUGCUACAGGAUUACAUCCUUAAAAUAAAAUGUGCCAAAACGGGUCAUUUGA